GACGGAGGAGGCAAGCGUUAUCCGGAAUUAUUGGGCGUAAAGCGUCCGCAGGCGGCUUUUAAGUCUGUUGUCAAAGCCCACAGCUCAACUGUGGAUCGGCAAUGGAAACUGGGAAGCUAGAGUGUGGUAGGGGUAGAGGGAAUUCCCGGUGUAGCGGUGGAAAUGCGUAGAUAUCGGGAGGAACACCAGUGGCGAAGGCGACUCUUUGGCCUGUAACUGACGCUGAGCGCGAAAGCG
rnacentral:rRNA from 1 species